rnacentral:rRNA from 1 species
UACGGGGGGGGCAAGCGUUGUUCGGAAUUACUGGGCGUAAAGGGCUCGUAGGCGGCCAACUAAGUCAGACGUGAAAUCCCUCGGCUUAACCGGGGAACUGCGUCUGAUACUGGAUGGCUAGAGGUUGGGAGAGGGAUGCGGAAUUCCGGGUGUAGCGGUGAAAUGCGUAGAUAUCUGGAGGAAUACCGGUGGCGAAGGCGGCAUCCUGGACCGGCAUUGACGCUGAGGAGCGAAAGCCAGGGGAGCAAACGGG